UUUAAUUUUCCUAGCUCUCUGCAACUCAAAUGAAUGCCCACUAAAGCUAAGCAGGGCUGUACCUGGUCAGAACCUGGACGGGAGACCACUUGGGAAAGCUAUGUUGCUGCCGGAA
rnacentral:rRNA from 1 species